ensembl:lncRNA
CUCUCUGUCUCCCUUUCUCUCUCUCUCUCUCUCUCUCUCUCUCUCUCUCUCUCUCUCUCUCUCUCUCUCUCUCUCUCUCUCUCUCUCUCUCUCUCUCUCUCUCACACACACACACACUCACAUACACACACACACACAGUCUCUGGCUGAUGUACUGAAACUGAGAGCUGGAUGCUGCAGCAGCGAAAUCCUCCGGAUCAUAGCUGGUGUGCAGCAUGGACUCCCUUUCUCACCACUUUCCACUCCACAGGAUGUGAGAACAGAUAUUACAUCGCAUCUUUCUAAGCUCAACGUUAAGCUGCAGGGACAAUAACAGCAGUCCGGGCUUUCCAGAGGAAAUAAGAGAUUUUCAAGACUGAUGUCCAAGGUGAACUUAUCCACUUCCCAGAGACUUGUGGAGCAAACCCAGGGAGUGAAAUAUAUCACCUACUUUCCUAAUUUCAUACAGAAACUGAUGGACAACUUCAAGGCUCACUUUGAUGAUUUUGUUCUUGUAGAACAACUUCUGCUGAUCAUACAGAACCAGUUCUUGGUCACAAAUGUCACUGAGUUUUCAGAGGAAGUUAAACAGAUCAUCAGAUGGACAACUGUUGCAUCACUACAAAUUCAGUUGAUUGAACUGCAGGAAAAUGUGGCUUUUUGAAGGUACAGAUAAACAAGCAGGAUGGUAGCACUGGUCCAGCUCGAUGUGGACAGAUCGAAGCAGAAGCGAUGGAGGAAACAACGCCAGACCCCGCGUUCGUGGAUGUGGACCAGGGCUUGACUCUGGCAUGCAUUGCUUUCCUCUGCCUGCUGCUGGUGGCCAUGAUUAUCCGCUGUGCCAAAGUCAUCAUGGACCCAUACAGCGCCAUCCCCACGUCCACCUGGGAGGAGCAGCAUCUAGACGACUAGCAUGACUUGCAGACAAACCUGUGUCCAGGAUGCAAGGUCAAGUUACAUGGACUUACUCCAAUACUGAAGCACACCAACUAGAGUCUCUACAAGCUUUGAAACUACCUACAACACUGGGACCGGGCAGAACAACCCAACACUGCACAGAACUGUUCCCAGAGCAACAUAUCAAAUACACUAAGAUAAUAAUCAUUGAAUGAAUUUGAGAAUGGUGAGUUAUAUUUUUGGGGGAACCUUUUAGGUUUUGUACAUUUUUCUAAUAAUCAUGAUGGAUGGGGUGUGCGAAUGUAAUAUAUAAUAAUGUAUAAUGUAAUGUUCAGUGAAAUGAAGCCUGGCUUGGAGGCAUGUUUACAAAGCUGCGCAUAAGGACCAUUCAACAUUGAAAUGAGUGUUAUUUAUAUCUGUUUACAGUUAAGCGACAAAAAUAAGUACGCUAGCUUGAAUGCAAUUCAGGAUGAGGAUGAGGUUUGUGCCGAUAAUAAGUUAUACAACAUAUCAUAAUAAUCAACAUGCACAACAUCAUUACUCUUCCAUUUAGGAGGAGGCCGCCUGGGCAGACAGUACUUUUAGGUUGUCUGUCGCAUUGGGAAAGAAGCCUUUGAAGGUAGCACCAUAUCUUUCUUCUUGAAGGCAUUACAAUAAAAAAAAACAAAAAAAACAAUCAGUAGCUAUGAAGUGGCUUUUUGAUUCAAAUGCUACUCAAUGAGAAAAAGUACUGGUAAACAUUGUCAUUUUUAAUAUACUGUGUUAAUGUCAUAAACGGUGAGAAAAUUUUGAAAAUGUAUUAUCGGCACAUGCCUGUUUAGGAUACUCAACUCCAGAUCAAGCCAUUUAGCUGAGGUUUAGAGGAAUUCCCUUUAUUCUUAAAUGUGACUGCCUUUGGCUGCUACUUAAAGUCCACUUCCUUUGCUCCUCUGUUGUCUUGAGCCAUAUCAAUUACCGCAUUUAUCUGCAGAGAAUUAUAACCAUAACUGCAUGUUAUCAAGUGCCUCAGCCAAAAUCACAAAGACUGUCUUGAAGCAGCACACAAUCAAAAUAAUGUGUAGCAGAUCAAACAAUAAUGUCUUGACUGAUUGAAACUGCAACUGUGCUAUGUUUAUUUAGCCUGCAUCUUCUUAUGCAUAAUAAAG